rnacentral:rRNA from 1 species
AUUGAACGCUGGCGGCAUGCCUAACACAUGCAAGUCGAACGAGACCUUCGGGUCUAGUGGCGCACGGGUGCGUAACGCGUGGGAAUCUGCCCUGGGGUGCGGAAUAACUCGGAGAAAUCCGUGCUAAUACCGCAUAAUGUCUUCGGACCAAAGAUUUAUCGCCCUGGGAUGAGCCCGCGUAGGAUUAGCUAGUUGGUGGGGUAAAGCCUACCAAGGCGACGAUCCUUAGCUGGUCUGAGAGGAUGAUCAGCCACACUGGGACUGAGACACGGCCCAGACUCCUACGGGAGGCAGCAGUGGGGAAUAUUGGACAAUGGGCGAAAGCCUGAUCCAGCAAUGCCGCGUGAGUGAUGAAGGCCCUAGGGUUGUAAAGCUCUUUUACCCGGGAUGAUAAUGACAGUACCGGGAGAAUAAGCUCCGGCUAACUCCGUGCCAGCAGCCGCGGUAAU